rnacentral:rRNA from 1 species
AUUGAACGCUGGCGGCAUGCUUUACACAUGCAAGUCGAACGGUAACAAGCCGCAAGGUGCUGACGAGUGGCGAACGGGUGAGUAAUGCAUCGGAACGUGCCCAGUCGUGGGGGAUAACGCAGCGAAAGCUGCGCUAAUACCGCAUACGAUCUAUGGAUGAAAGCGGGGGACCGUAAGGCCUCGCGCGAUUGGAGCGGCCGAUGUCAGAUUAGGUAGUUGGUGGGGUAAAGGCUCACCAAGCCAACGAUCUGUAGCUGGUCUGAGAGGACGACCAGCCACACUGGGACUGAGACACGGCCCAGACUCCUACGGGAGGCAGCAGUGGGGAAUUUUGGACAAUGGGCGCAAGCCUGAUCCAGCAAUGCCGCGUGCAGGAAGAAGGCCUUCGGGUUGUAAACUGCUUUUGUACGGAACGAAACGGUCCGGGUUAAUACCCUGGGCUAAUGACGGUACCGUAAGAAUAAGCACCGGCUAACUACGUGCCAGCAGCCGCAGUAAUAC